AGGGGUAUAGUUAAGCGGCAUAACCAUGGUCUCCAAAACCAUUAUCGGGGGUUCGAUUCCCUCUACCCCUGCCA
rnacentral:tRNA from 1 species